AUUGAACGCUGGCGGCAGGCCUAACACAUGCAAGUCGAACGGUAGCACAGAGAGCUUGCUCUCGGGUGACGAGUGGCGGACGGGUGAGUAACGUCUGGGAAACUGCCCGAUGGAGGGGGAUAACUACUGGAAACGGUAGCUAAUACCGCAUAACGUCGCAAGACCAAAGUGGGGGACCUUCGGGCCUCACACCAUCGGAUGUGCCCAGAUGGGAUUAGCUAGUAGGUGGGGUAAUGGCUCACCUAGGCGACGAUCCCUAGCUGGUCUGAGAGGAUGACAGGCCACACGGAAACUGAGACACGGUCCAGACUCCUACGGGAGGCAGCAGUGGGGAAGAUUGCACAAUGGGCGCAAGCCUGAUGCAGCCAUGCCGCGUGUAUGAAGAAGGCCUUCGGGUUGUAAAGUACUUUCAGCGGGGAGGAAGGCGGUGAAGUUAAUAGCUUCGCCGAUUGACGUUACCCGCAGAAGAAGCACCGGCUAACUCCGUGCCAGCCGCCGCCGUAA
rnacentral:rRNA from 1 species